rnacentral:rRNA from 1 species
UACGUAGGAGACGAGCGUUGUCCGGAGUUACUGGGCGUAAAGGGUGCGCAGGGUGGCGGCGCGCGUGGGGGGUGAAAUCGCCCGGCUUAACUGGGCGGGGGACCCUUCGAGACGGCGUGGCUUGAGCAGCGGAGGGGGACGUGGAAUUCCGGGUGGAGCGGUGAAAUGCGUAGAGAUCGGGGAAGGAACACCAGUGGCGAAGGCGGGCCAUCUGGAUCAACACUAGGACCGCGUGAGGCACGAAAGCGAUGGGGAGCAAACAGGGA